GAUGAAGAACGCAGCGAAAUGCGAUACGUAAUGUGAAUUGCAGAAUUCAGUGAAUCAUCGAAUCUUUGAACGCAUAUUGCGCUCUCUGGUAUUCCGGAGAGCAUGCUUGUUUGAGUAUCAGUAAACACCUCAACUUCCAUAUCUUUUUUGAAAUGGGAGUUGGACUUGAGUGAUCCCAACGCUUUUCCUCACCGAAAAGUGGCGGGUUACUUGAAAUGCAGGUGCAGCUGGACUUUUCUCUGAGCUAUAAGCAUAUCUAUUUAGUCUGCCUAAAAAACAGAUUAUUACCUUUGCUGCAGCUAACAUAAAGGAGAUUAGUUCUUGUGCUGACUGAUGCAGGAUUCACAAAGACAGGCUUCGGCCGACUUUGUAAACUCGAUCUCAGAUCAAGUAAGACUACCCGCUGAACUUAAGCAUAUCAAUAAGCGGAGGA
rnacentral:misc_RNA from 1 species